rnacentral:misc_RNA from 1 species
AUCAUAUUAGAAAUGGCUUUGCAGGUGAGAUCUACUCUAAGCCAAAACUGAAUGCUCCUAAGUCCUAUCAUUUCCAAGCAUUUAAAUAUAAAUUAAAAAAAAAUGCUGUAAAUAUUUAAACAGUUGAGUUGUUGAUUAUGAAAUCACAUUCAUAAAAGAAGAAGAAAAUAACUUGCUUUCUUAUUAGGCUGUUAAAGUUGACAGCAGUCAUAUACAUUUCUAUCAUGUAAAACAUUGCUUCAAUAAUCUUAGCAGCAUAAUCAUGUCAAACUGUUAGCCAACCUGGCAUAGGACAGACAAUUGAUACAGAAUUUUCAACUAGACAAAUGAGAAAUAUCUCAAAUUAGUUUUUUGUAAGGCACACUGAUUUCUCAUCUCACGUAAGGUACACUUCAUGUGAUCAACUACAGAUCUAAUAUUGGUGGAUCACCUUCAGAAUACACUUGUAAGGUGAAUGCUAAUACAGCACUAGUAAAGGUGGAAUGAUUAUAACUUAUCUGAUUUGACAGUUAAAUGAGCAUGAAUAUAUCUAUCCACCAGCUAUUGAGUAAUGAAGAGGAUGAGUGUACCAUUGGAUAACCUUUAGCUUUUUAUCAAUCAGGUGAAGCUUGGGACAGGUUCAUUCUUCGUGGCAUCAUCUUUGUCUGAUCUUUUUGAACAUUAGACAACAAUAAAACUGGAUAGGUUUAAGAUAAGAUGCUAGUCAUAAAGCAGGUCCAUUAAAAUUUAGUUAUUUUGCAUCAAUUCAGCGUUGAGAUUUUGAUUGUUUCUGCUUCCUUAUUUGAAUUUUUUUUCUUGAUUUUUACUUACAUCUGUCUCAGCAUUGGAGAAGCUGCUAAAAG